CACAAGGCCCCUUUAGGCAGAGCUUAGACCAGAGUUACAUCACCUGGAUGAUCAUUGCAGAGAUAUGUCACAAUGUCCCCAUAGGCAAAUCCAAGACAAGCGUUCGUCACCUGGGUGAUCAUUGCAGAAAUAUGUGACAAUGCCCUCAGGAGGCGGAGCCUACAGAAGAGUCCAAUCACCUGCGUGAUCAGUGCAGAGAUAUUUCACAAUGCCCCUGCAGGCAGAGUGUAAGCAAGAGUUACAUCACCUAGAUGAUCAGUGCAGAGAUAUGUCACAAGGCCCCCUAUACGCAGAGUCGGACAAGAGUUACAUCACCUCAGUGAUCAAUGCAGUGAUAUGUCACUAUGCCCCGUAGGCAGAGCCUAGUCAAGCGUUACAUCACCUGGGUGAUUACUGCAGAGAUAUGUCACAAAGUCCCCAUACACAGAGCCUAGACAAGAGUCCCAUCACCUGGGUGAUCAGUGCAGAAAUAUGUCACAAUGCCCCUAUAGGCCGAUCGAAGACAAGAGUCCUUCACCUGGGUGAUCAGUGCAGAAAUAUGUCACAAUGCCCCCUUAGGCAGAGCCUAGAUAAAAGCCCCAUCACCUGGAUGAUCAGUGCAGAGUUAUGUCACAAAUUCCCUUUAGGCAGAUCCUAGAGAAAGGUUACAUCACUUGGAUGAUCAGUGCAGAGAUAUGUCACUAUGCUACAGUAGGCAGAGCCUAGACUAGAGUUACAUGACCUCGGUGAUCAGUGCAGAGAUACAUCGCAAUGUCCCUGUAGGCAGAGCCUUGACAAGUGGUACAUCACCUGGGUGAUCAUUGCAGGGAUAUGUCACAAAGCACCCUGUAGGCAGAUCCUAGAAAAGAGUUACAUGACCUAGGUGAUCAGUGCAGAGAUACAUCGCAAUGCCCCUGUAGGCAGAGCCUUGACAAGUGGUAUAUCACCUGGGUGACCAUUGCAUUGAUAUGUCACAAAGCACCCUAUAGGGAGAUCCUAGAGAAGAGUUAUAUCACCUGGGUGGUCAGUGCAGAGUUAUGUCACAAGCCCCUGUAGGCAGAGCCUAGACAAGAGUUAUAACACCUGGGUGAUCAGUGCAGUGAUAUGUCACAAUGCCGUAUAGCCAGAGCCUAGACUAAAGUUACAGCACCUGGGAGAUAAGUGCAGAGAUAUGUCACAAAGUCCCCAGUAGGCAGAGACCAGGUAAGAGUUGGAUCAUCUCGGGAUCAGUGCAGAGAUAUGUCUCAAUCCCCCUGUGGGCACAGCCUAGACAAGAGUUACAUCACCUCGUUUAACAGUGCAGAGAUAUGUCAAAAUGCCCCUGUAGGCAGAGCCUACACAAGUGUUACAUCACUUAGGUGAUCAGUGCAGAUAUAUGUCACAAUACCCCCUGUAAGCAGAGCCUAGACAAGAGUUACAUCACCUGGGUGAUCAGUGCAGAGAUAUGUGACAAGGCCCCUUUAAGCAGAACCUAGACAAUUGUUACAUCACCUGAGUGAUCAGUGCGGAGAACUGUCAAAAUGCCCCUUUAGGCAGAGCUUAGAUCAGAGUUACACCGCCUGGGUGAUCAGUGCAGAGAUAUCUCACAAUACCCACUGUAAGCAGAGCCUAGACAAGAGUUACAUCACCUGGGUGAUCAGUGCAGAGAUAUGUCAUAAAUCCCACUGUAGGCAAAGCCUAGACAAGUUUUACAUCACCUCAGCGAAAAGUGCAGAGAUAUAUCCCAAUGUCCCUCUAGGCAGAGCUUAGCCAAGAGUCACAUCUCCUGGGUGAUCAGUGCAGAGAUAAGUCACACUGCCCCCAUUGGCAGAGCCUAGAGAAGAGUUAUAUGACUGGGGUGAUCCGUGCAGAGUGAUAUCACAACGCCCUCUGUAGCCACAGAGUAGAAAAUAGUUACAUCACCUGGGUGAUCAGUGCAGAGAUAUGUCACAAUGCCCCUGUAGGUAGAGCAUAGAGAACAGUUGCAUCACCUGGGUGAUCAGUGCAGAAAUAUGUGACAAUGCCUCCAGUAGGCAGA
rnacentral:lncRNA from 1 species